CCUACGGGUGGCAGCAGUGGGGAAUAUUGGACAAUGGGGGGAACCCUGAUCCAGCCAUGCCGCGUGUGUGAAGAAGGCCCUCGGGUUGUAAAGCACUUUCAGUGAGGAAGAACGCCUGGUGGUUAAUACCCAUCAGGAAAGACAUCACUCACAGAAGAAGCACCGGCUAACCCCGUGCCAGCAGCCGCGGUAAUACGGAGGGUGCGAGCGUUAAUCGGAAUUACUGGGCGUAAAGUGCGCGUAGGUGGCUUGAUAAGCCGGUUGUGAAAGCCCCGGGCUCAACCUGGGAACGGCAUCCGGAACUGUCAAGCUAGAGUGCAGGAGAGGAAGGUAGAAUUCCCGGUGUAGCGGUGAAAUGCGUAGAGAUCGGGAGGAAUACCAGUGGCGAAGGCGGCCUUCUGGACUGACACUGACACUGAGGUGCGAAAGCGUGGGUAGCAAACAGGAUUAGAUACCCUAGUAGUC
rnacentral:rRNA from 1 species